UAAAUUUAAUUUCGGCAAACAUUCACCUCUCAUAUGUCGGUAGCCAAAUUAAAUUAAUUCAUUAACUUACCGUUGCCAUCUUGCGUUAAUUAUGCGCGAACUUGUUGAGAAACGUUCAUAUGUUAAUGUAGUUAAAUAAAUGGCUUGGCAAUUGUUUCAAUUAGUGCCUCGUCAGUAAAGGCUUGUUUUGUAGGACUAGCUUUUGUUUUAAGUAACGUAAAUUACAGUAAUUACAGGUACAUUCAACGUCAAAGAUAUAUUUAAAAUUUUCGCCGUAUUAUCCCAUUAUUAUCGCUGUAGUUCGUAAAUAAUUUUUUUGCCUUAAUUAUGAGCAAAAGACACAAAAUAACUAAGCUACAAAGCGUAACAACAGUAAUUAAACCCGUUAGAGCGAAAAUUAGCAAACAUUUUAAAAUCCACUCAUAAUGUGCACUGAAACAUUUUAAAAUGGAUAAAAUAAACUUUUACGGGCAGUACUGGUAAAUAUACAGUUUAUACGAGGUUCAACGAGGUUUUUCUGUGAGAUAUUUUCAACUCACGUUGAAAAUAUCUCACAGAAAAACUUGGAACUAAAUCAAAAGUACUUAAUUGUUACAACCAACACGAAAUCUGGCUGGCCAAACUUGACACAGAGAGCAGGAUUAACACAACAAUUUAACGCCGAGUUAGUGGCUAACCUUGGAUGGCGCAAGUGGUCCUAAGAUUAAAGUCUCCUGACUAUGCCUUUGGCUAAAUUACUAAUAGGUACUAAUUGAGUCCGUCUAAGCCAUGUCUAACUUUAAAUACAACAAAGUGAGGGAGUGUCGUUAUCUUAAUAAACUUAAUAAUUUCAUAGACAUUUGACAUCAAUGAUGAGAUUGGGUCGUAAUGGUCGAAUCAGGACAAUCCACCAUCUUAAUUUCGCCCUAUUUAUCUCCGGAUAUUUACAGUGUACGUCAUGACAAUAGCAGUAAAAUAGGGGUCCGGCCAAAUUACACGCCGAAUUCGUCGCGAGGAUUACCCGCGCGUAAAAAAGAUAUAAAACGAACCUUGAUAACACGGGCCUCUAAAUACUUUAUGAUCAAUUUAAUCACGAUACAAUGAAGCUGGAGCCUUAUCAGGGCACUUAUUUAGGACACCAGCUGUUUUUAUACAUUCAUAAACCUCAGUGAUCUUGUUUUAGGUAACAAUGUAAAAAAGUAUACGUGGCUUUGGUUUUAAGGACCUCCGCUAGCAAAACCACUUGUAGACCUGAAGACCUAUACAAUCUAUACAUACAUGUAAGCAAUUAUAAUCGAAUGAGCGAGUAAAGCGAAGUUCUUACAUUCGACUUGAAACACUGGUCGAACGAGCGAGCGAAGCGAAGUUCUUACAUUCGACUUGAAACACUGGCCUGGCUAGGGACACGUCCCGGCAUUUCGAUGUUUUUAAUCUGAACUAUCAGAGGAUAGUUUGAUGUUUGAUUAAUUCAAAUGAUAUUAUAUAAAUGUGUAGAUCAGGGCAUUAUAUUUUAGUCAUUAAAUUAUGAGCAGGCUCGAUCACGGGGUUAUGGAGCUAGAAGAGCCUAGAAGGCCCAAAAGCUAUUUGUGUGUGGUCUUGCUAUUCUGGUCAACUCCUUUGCAAGAAAGUAUGAGUGGCCAUAGUGUAGAUACAUUGGUAGGGUAGGUGGACUGUUGUCUGGUCAAUUCUGGUGGGUACGUGAGAAAGUAGGCAUAUCAGCCAUCUUGAAUUUUCACAUUUUUUAUUCAAUCGUGUCGAGAAUGAAAUAGAUGUCUAUGAAUUUACACCAUAUAGUUUUUGGCGAACCGCGAGUUCUCAGUUCGGGGCGAACUACUAGUUAAAUAAAUAAAUAACGUAUAGGUACCUACGUUAGUCACGGCGUGCGGAAACUCAUUCAAUGUGAAGACCAUGGUAUAAUAAUAUACUCCGCCUGGUACUCUCUUCCGACCAGGUGACUGACACAAGCUACAUCAUCAUGCGACUGCGCUGUAUAAUAAUAUGCGACAGCGCUAUAUGCAAUGUUAAUAGCUAAGUGGCAAUGUUAUUGUGACUUGUGUCACUCUGGGAAGAGAAGACCAUGUUUUAUUAGACUAUGGUGAAGACCUCUUAGCAAUGCGUGGUACGUAGCACACACGAGUAACACCGGAGUCUUCACUCGGGCACUUUUGACAUAAAAAAGUUGGGUAACUUUUUUAUGUCAAAACGGCUUGAAAAAACAAAAACAGAGACAUCGAAGUGAUACAGAAUUUUAACCGAGGCUAAGGUACAGUCAAAUGUAAAAAUAUAACUUACUGAAAAAUAUGUCCCAUAUUUCUUAAUUCCAUAAGAGCUAUGGAACAUAUUAUUGAGUAUGAUGCGUGCACCCAUAUUUUUACACUUGAUUGUACAAAGUGGUUUAAAUAUCUACUUCGUCCUCCAGAUACGAACCUUUAUUUACAUAUUAUUAUGUAGGUAUACAAAAUAUUAUGUAUAUAAUUAAAUUAAUUACAUAUAUACGUAUGUAUUUAAAUUAAAUAAUAAACAAUAAACACCUUAUAAACUUAAACUUUGGAUGGUUUGAUUUGCUUGGAACAAUGUAACAUUCAUUUUAUUUAGGUUUUUCUGGAUUAUUCAUACCCACUAUAUGUUGUUGCUUUCUCAGCUUUAGGUGUCAUACAAUACGGUUGAUUUAUUGACCUGAUGAAACUCUGACGACGGCAUAAUAAUGUGGCAUUUUAGUUUCUUCACUCUCGCCAUAAAUAUGUUUUGGAACACCACUCAAGGUUUUUAUAUAACCAUAAUUAUGUUCUUCAAUGCUCUUUAGUGUUCUGUCGUCAUUUGUAUGUCCUGAAACACCAUUGUAUAAGUCGUCAUUAGUACGUUCUAGAACGUUACUCAAAGUAUGAUCAUAGUUGUGUUCGUUAAUGCGAUUAAGUAAUUUGUCGUCAUAUGUACCUUCUAAAAUUUCUCUCAAUGUUUUUAUGUUAUCAUAAUUGUGUCCGUCAAUGCGAUUGAGUAAUUUGUUGUCAUAUGUACUCUCUAAAACGUCACUCAAAGUUUUUAUUUCAUCAUACUUAUGUUUGUCAAUGUUCUUCGGUGUUUCGUCGUCAUAAGUUCGUUCUAGCAAAUCACUCAAGGUAUUUAUAUGAUCAUAGUUGUGUUCGUCAAUGCGAUUGAGUAACUUUUCGCCAUAUGUAUUCUCUAGAACAUCACUCAAAGUUUUUAUUUCAUUAUAAUUAUGUUUGUCAAUGUUCUCCGGUGUUUUGUCGUCAUAAGUACGCUCUAGCAAAUGAUUCAAGGUAUUUAUAUGAUCAUAGUUGUCUUCGUCAAUGCGAUUGAGUAAUUUAUCGCCAUUAGUAUGCUCUAAAAUGUCACUCAAUGUUUUUUUUUGAUAAUAAUUGUAGUUCUUAAUGUUCUUCGGUGCUUUGUCGUCAUUAGUACCUUCUAGAAAAUCACUUAAGGUUUUUAUAUGGUUAUAGUUGUCUUCGUCAAUGCGAUUGUGUAAUUUGUCUUCAGAUGUACUUUUAAGAACGUCGCUCAAAGUUUUUAUAUGAUUAUAAUUAUGUUUGUCAAUAUUAUUCGAUGCUUUCUCGUCAUUGGUGCGUUGUAGAAACUCACUCAAGGUUUUGAUUUGAUUAUAUUUGUGUUUGUCAAUACCAUUCAGUGUUUUGUCACCAAAAAUAACUUUUGGAACGGUACUCCGAGUUUUUUUAUGAUCAUAGUUGUGUUCUUCGGUGCGAUUGAGUAAUUUGCCGUCAUAUAUAUUUUGAAGAAUAUCAAUCAAAGUUUUUAUAUCAUCAUAAUUGUGUUCUUCAAUACGAUCGAGUAAUUGGCCGUCACAUAUAUUUUUAAGAAUGUCAAUCAAAGUUUUAAUAUUUUCAUAAUUAAAACUGUCAUCAUUAGUACCUUUUACAAAAUCACUCAAGGUUUUUAUACGAUCAUAGUUGUCAUCAAUUCGAUCAAGUAAUUUGUCGCCAUAUGUAGUUUCAAUAACGUCACUCAAAGUAUUUAUAGGAUAAUAAUUAUGUUUGUCAAUGUUCUUAAGUACUUUGUCUUCGUAAGUACGUUCUAUAAAAUCACUCAAGGUUUUUAUUUGAUCAUAUUUAUGUUUGUCAAUACCACUCAGUGUUUUGUCACUAUAUGUUACUUUUGGAACGCCACUAAGAGUUUUUAUAUGAUCAUAGUUGUGUUCGUGUGUGUCUUCAGAUGUACUUUCAAGAACGUCGCUCAAACUUUUUACAUGAUUAUAAUUAUGUUUGUCUAAAUUCUUCGAUGCUUUCUCGUCAUUGGUGCGUUGUAGAAACUCAUUCAAGGUUUUGAUUUGAUCAUAUUUGUGUUUGUCAAUACCAUUCAGUGUUUUGUCACCAUAAGUUACUUUUGGAAUGCCACUAAGAGUUUCUAUAUGAGCAUAGUUGUGUUCGUCAAUGGGAUUGGGGAAUUUGUGGCCAUGUGUAUUUUCAAGAACGUCGCUUAAAGUUAUUUUAUGAUUAAAAUUAUGUUUGUCAAUAUUCUUCGAUGCUUUCUCGUUAUUGGUGCGUUGUAGAAACUCAUUCAAGGUUUUGAUUUGAUCAUAUUUGUGUUUGUCAAUACCAUUCAGUGUUUUGUCACCAUAAGUUACUUUUGGAAUGCCACUAAGAGUUUCUAUAUGAGCAUAGUUGUGUUCGUCAAUGGGAUUGGGGAAUUUGUGGCCAUGUGUAUUUUCAAGAACGUCGCUUAAAGUUAUUUUAUGAUUAAAAUUAUGUUUGUCAAUAUUCUUCGAUGCUUUCUCGUUAUUGGUGCGUUGUAGAAACUCACUCAAGGUUUUUAUUUGAUCAUAUUUGUGUUUGUCAAUACCAUUCAGUGUUUUGUCACCAUAAGUUACUUUUGGAACGCCACUAAGAGUUUCUAUAUGAUCAUAGUUGUGUUCGGCAAUGCGAUUGAGAAAUUUGUGGCCAUGUGUAUUUUCAAGAACGUCGCUUAAAGUUAUUUUAUGAUUAAAAUUAUGUUUGUCAAUAUUCUUCGACGCUUUCUCGUCAUUGGUGCGUCCUAGAAAAUCGCUCAAGGUAUUUAUUUGAUCAUAUUUGUGUUUAUCAAUAGUCUUCAGUGUUUUGUCACCAAAAAUAACUUUUGGAACGGUACUCCGAGUUUUUUCAUGAUCAUAGUUGUGUUCUUCGGUGCGAUUGAGUAAAUUGCCGUCAUAUAUAUUUUGAAGAAUAUCAAUCAAUGUUUUUAUAUUAUCGCAAUUAAAGUCAUCAAUGCUUUUCGGUGCUUUGUCGUCAUUAGUACGUUCUAGAAAAUCACUUAAGGUUUUUAUAUGAUCAUAAUUGUGUUCUUCAAUACGAUCGAGUAAUUGGCCGUCACAUAUAUUUUUAAGAAUGUCAAUCAAAGUUUUAAUAUUUUCAUAAUUAAAACUGUCAUCAUUAGUACGUUUUACAAAAUCACUCAAGGUUUUUAUACGAUCAUAGUUGUCAUCAAUUCGAUCAAGUAAUUGGUCGCCAUAUGUACUUUCAAUAACGUCACUCAAAGUAUUUAUAGGAUAAUAAUUAUGUUUGUCAAUGUUCUUCGGUACUUUGUCUUCGUUAGUACGUUCUAGAAAAUCACGCAAGGUUUUUAUUUGAUCAUAUUUGUGUUUUUCAAUACCAUUCAGUGUUUUGUCACCAUAAGUUACUUUUGGAACGCCACUUAGAGUUUUUAUAUGAUCAUAGUUGUGUUCUUCAAUCCGAUUGAGUAAUUUUUGGCCAUUUGUAUUUUCAAGAACGUCACUUAAAGUUGUUUUAUGAUUAUAAU